rnacentral:sRNA from 1 species
AGUAUGGACACUCUUGAGGAUAUAGAGGAAGAACGAAGACUUUUUUAUGUGGCUAUGACAAGGGCAAAGGAGAGGCUCUAUAUUAGUUCUUCCUUAAU